CAGUCGCCACGGUAAGACGAACCGUGCGAACGUUAUUCGGAAUCACUGGGCUUAAAGCGCGUGUAGGCGGGAGGGCACGUCCGUCGCUGAAAUCCCCCGGCUCAACCGGGGAACGGGCGCGGAUACGACUCCUCUGGAGGAACGUAGGGGGACCUGGAACUUCCGGUGGAGCGGUGAAAUGCGUUGAGAUCGGAAGGAACGCCCGUGGCGAAAGCGAGGUCCUGGACGUUUACUGACGCUGAGACGCGAAAGCCAGGGGAGCGAACGGGAUUAGAUACCCCGGUAGUCCCUGUCUCUUAUU
rnacentral:rRNA from 1 species